rnacentral:lncRNA from 1 species
AUCCAAACUAUAUCAGGGAGAAAUCAAUGAUUUCUUCAAAAUAAACUCUGUAUCCCUUUUUCUCUCUCUUCUCCUUUUUGGAUUCUCAUAUGUAAAUAUUGUUCCACUUGGUAAUGUACCAUAAGUUCCUUAGGCUUUCUUCAUUUUUCUUUUUGUUCCUCUGGCUCAGUCAUAUCAAAUGACCUGUCUUGAAUUUGGUCAUACUGCAGGUUCUCUGGUGCUACAACAAGCCACUGAGUUGUUCUUUGUUCAGAGUGCUCCUAGAUGUCAAAGUUCUGCCAGUUCCCCAACACAGCUUCAAGGCACAGAAACACUCUCCACUGCGGCCAAGGAUUGCAGGAGAGGUGGCAUCAGUGAUUCAAGACUUCUUUUCCUACCUCUUCAGUGUUUCUUUCAGUGAUCUGAAGUUAAAGCCAGGGGGAAUAUCACAGAAGUGAAGUGCAAUUCUCAUCAUGUCAUAUCAAGAGCACACACUAACAAACAACAUGACUUAUUGCUGAAUAUUGAACUUGAUCACCUGGCUGAGGUAGUGUUUGCCAGAUUUCUCUGUAAAGGUGAAUAAACUGACACUGGAACAUUCAGGAACUUCUUCAUGGUCAUGGUCACCCAGCUAGAGUGUGGAAGCCAGGCUGUCUGAUUCCAGGAUCUGUGUUCUUAAUCCUAUACAUAAGGAAGCCAUAAUGAGUCAACCACUAUUUUUAAGAUUCACAGAUGUUCGGGUCCAAUUCACCAGAAUGCCAAGUUAUACAGGGUUGUGGAAUCAAAAACUGCAAUUAGUAAUAAAAUGUGAUGCUAUCUAGAAUGUUUUUCAUACAUAUAUAUGCUUCUUGGGACUCUCCCUGCAGGUUAAGAGAAAUUGAGAAACGAUGGAGAAUUUAAGUGUUUUAGAUCCUACAUACAUUAGACUUAAAAAUAGUAACUAUGUACAUGAGUAUUUGUAAACUUAAGAAUGAACAUAACAUGAACCAUGUGGCACCUAUAAAAUGAAAAUAAAAUACCUACAAACCAAAUGAGAGCAAUAAAAGAAGCUUUAAGGACUUUCACUUCAGGGAGUCUGAAUUAGAUGCGCUUCUUCCCAUUCCUCCCUCUAAUUACAACAAGCUUGGACGUUACAUACAGAACAAACAGAAGGAGUCUCUGAAAGAUGAAGAGAAGGCAAGUAAGCUACAGACUUCACAAUGUAAGGAAUAAUAUGGUGGUGAGUUACAUUUGUGAUUUUUUUUUGUCUCAUAUCCCAUAAUAUCUCAUAUCUCAUAAUCAGUUAGAAAGCACAAUGGAAAAGUAUUCCACUGCCAAUGGUGUUAGAGAACUGCUCACAAAUUCAACAGAAAUGCACAGAUACCAAAGCAGAAAGGACAAUAAACAAGAGUCUUCAUGGUCAAAAGAUUAGAAGCUGCAGCUUUCAAUGGGAGGGACAGGUUCUGGACCACACUGCAGUGCUUUUCUGCUUUCUGUGCUUUCCCACUCUAGAGCUGAAGAAGGUAACGACCCCAAAAUGUCAAUAUACGUAGACCAAAAACCAGCCCCAAUAAAAGUCUGCUCUCUCUAGCCAAAGGACUACAGUAGGGCAGCCCAGCAAGACAGAAAACCUUCAGACAACCUACCCCAGCCAAACACUACCAAAAAAAGUAAAGUGAGCCAUCACCCAAUCCACAUCAGUAAAAACUAAGUGGAAAGUCCAGACUUUCACCUCAAGAGGUUGCGACAAGCUACUCCAAUACCCCUGCUGGGAUAGUGUCACAGAAGGCUAAAUAAGGAGCUGUAAUGUUGAUUCCCCUCCAGAAGUAAAGAGUCCGUACCUGCUAUUUUCAGAGAGACCACAUGGAAAGCCUAGAUUUCAACACCUACCCAGCAUUAAUGAGGUAUUCCUUCCCUUCUUUACUCUCUGGUGUCAAAGAAGCUCCAUGCAGAGUCAGAAUGUUUGGCAUUACUCCUCAGUAGGGAGGCCACCCCCACCACGGUGUUAGUGGAGACCAUGUGAGGACCAGGACUUGUACCCUGCCCAGAAGUAAUGAGUAGACCCCCCUCUACAGGAAGGCCAAAGGGCAACCUAAACUUCUACCUCUCUCUGGCAGUAAUAAAGUAGGGCCUCACUUUUCCCUGCUGAGCAAUGUCAAAAAAAAAAGCCAGCUGAAGUAAAAGCUUAUUUCUUUCUUUCUUUAUACAUAUUUUUGGAGACAGGGUCUUAUUCUGUCACCCACGCUGGAGUACAGUGGCCUCAUCAGGUCUCACUGCAGCCUCAACCUCCUGGGCUCAAGCAAUCCUCCCACCUCAGCCUCUUGAGUAGCUGAGACCACAGAUGUGCACCACCACACAUAGCUAACAUUAACAUUUUUUCUAGAGAUGGGGUCUUCCUGUGUUGCCCAGGCUGGUCUGGAACUCCUGGGCUCAAGUGAUCCUCCCACCUUGACCUCCUGGAGGGCUGGGAUUACAGGUAUGAGUCAUCACUCCAGGCUGAAGCUUUAUAUAAUAACCAGAGUCUCAUAUUACAAAAUGUCAAAGAUUCAGUCAAAAGUUACUUGAUAUCAAUGGACAAGAUCUCAAACUAAAUGAAAAAAAGACAAUUAAUAGAUGCUAACACUGAGAUAACAAAGUUGUUAGAAUCAUCUAACAAAGAUUUUAAAGCAGCUAUAAUAAAAGUGCUACUGCAAGUGAUUAUAAACAUGCUUGAGACAAAUGAAAAAGUGCUAUAAAGCUAAGAAAUAAAAUAUAUAAAUAAGAAUCAAAGAGAAAUUAUAGAACUAAAAGAUACCAUAACUGAAAUGCAAAGCUCCGUGGAUGGACUCAACAACAGAAUGGAAAAGACUGAGGAAAGAAGUAGUUUACAGGAAAUUAGAAUAGACUAGAAAAAAUGAACAAGACCCUGUGCUAAAGAGCAAAUAUUUAUGUCAUUGGAUUCCAGGAAAGAGAAAAGAAUGAAAAAGUACUUAAAUAAUGGCUUAAAAACUUCUCACAUUUUGCAAAGAUUUAAACCUACAAUUUGAGAAGCUGGGUAAACCUUAAACAGGAUAAAUCAAGGACACUCACACCAAGAAACAUAGUAAUUAAACUUCUGAUUAAGGAAGAAAAAGAAAAAUCUGGAAAGCAGCAAGAAAAAAAUGACACACUUUCUAUAUGGUAAAAGCAAUUUGAACAACAGAAGAUUUCUCAUCAGAAACUGUGGGGACCAUGAGGAAGUAACAGAUAUUUUUCAAGUGCUGAAAUAAAUCAACUGUCAAUACAAAAUGCUCUACUCAGUGAAAAUAUCUUUCAGGAAUAAAGGGGAAAUCAGGACACGCACAGACUUUUUUUAAAUUAAGAAUUUAUUGUCAGCUUAUCUCCCUAAAAGAAUGGCUAACAUUCUCCAAACACGAAGGAAAUUGAUAAGGAAUCUUGAAAUUUCAGUUAGAAACAAUGAAUAUGGCAAGCAAAAUGUAGGUCAGUACACUAAGUUUAAUUUCUCCUCUUGAAUUUUCUAAAUUAUGACUUAUGAUUGAAGCAAAAAUCAUAACAUUAUCUGAUGUAUAUGUAGAGGAAAGAUUUAAGACAGUGAUGUUAUAAAUGAGGGGAGUAAAGGAACAUGAGAUAACCACUAAUAUGACAUACCAAUAGACUAUGAUAAAUUAUGUGUCUAAUGUGAUUACUAGAAAAACCAGUUAAAAUAUAAAGAUUGACGGAGUGAAUUUAAAAACAUGACACACUAUAUGCUGUUUAUCAUAAACUCACUUUGAAGAUAAUGCCAUCGUCAGGUUGAAAUCAAAAGGAAUAAAAUAGUGUAUUAUGUAAACCAUCAAAAAGAGCAGGAAUGGCCAUAUUAAUAACAUUAAAGUCAGCUUCAGAACUAAGGAAAUUAUCAGAGAGGGACAUUAUAUAAUGAAAUAGUCGAUUUACCAAAAGAACAUAGCAAUCAUAAAUGUGCAUGAAGCAAACAACAAAGCUGGAAAAUAUAUGAAGUGAAACUGAUAGAUCUAAAAGGAGAAACAGAUAAAUCCAUUCAUUAUAGUUGGGGCCUUUAUCACCCCUCACUCAACAAUUGAUAGAACUGGACAGAAAACCAGUAAGAAUAUAAAAGAACUCAACAACAUGAGACAAUAGGAUCUAGUUGAUAUUUAUAGAACAUUCCAACAGCAGAAUACAUGUUCUUCAAGUGCUCACAGAACACACAUAUAAAGAUAGACCCUGAGCAUAAAACAAGCCUCAACAAAUUUAAAAGAACUGAAAUACUACAAGUACUUUCUCCAACCACAAAAGAACCAAACUAGAAAUAAAUAACAAUGAUAAUGGGAAAAUCACCAAACACUUGAAAACUGAACAACAAUAUUUUAUAACCCAUGGUCAUAGAGGAAAUCUCAAAAGAAAUUUUAAAAAUGCACUGAACUGAAUGAAAAUGAAAACAACAUAAAAUUUGUGAGACACAUAAAGCAGAACUGAUGGGAAAAUAUAUAGCACUAAAUGCAUGCUCUAGAAAAGAAAAGUCUUCAACCAGUAACCUAAGCUUCCACCUCAAAAACCUAAAAAAAGAAGGAAAAAUAGACCCAAUGCCAGCAGAAAGAUGCAAUAACAAAGAGUAGAACUCAAUGAAAUUGAAAACAGAUAAACACUUUAAAGAAUAAAACAAAGAGCUGGUUAUUAGAAAAGAUCAAUUAAUUGAUAAACCUCAAGCAAGACCGUCAAAAAAAAAAAAAAAAGGACUUACCUAUACCAGAGAUGAAAUGGGAUAUCGCUAUCAAUACUGCAAACAUCAAAAGGAUAAGUAGAUACUAUGAACUGUACACACAUUAAUCUGACAAUUUAGACAAAAUAGAUCAUUUCCCUAGAAAACACAAACUACUACAGCUUACCCAAUAUAAAAUAGAUUAUUUGAAUAGCCUUAUAAGUACUAAAAAAAAAUUAAUUAAACUCAUUAUUUAAAAAUUCCUAAAAAGAAAGCCUCCAGAGCCAAAUUGUUUCCUUCAGAAUUCCACCACAUUCAUAAAGAUUUGACAGCAAUUCUAUACAGUCUCUUUGAGAAAAUAGAAGGGGGUAUUUUCUAAUUCAUUUUAAGGAGCUAGUAAAUACCCUGAUACUGAAAUGUAUACUGCAAAUUGAUAAAAUUAUAGACCCCUGCAUAUUAAAUUUCAAAAUAAAAAUGAUAAAAAUACUUGGGUAAUGAAUAACAGCAUAACAAAAAACCACAGACCAAUAUCUCAUGAACAUAGACACAAAAAAUGCUUCACAAUAUGACAUAGAAUUCAGUAAUACAUGAGAAUUAUAUACCACAACCCAGUAAGACUUAAUCCAAGAAUGGAAGACUGGCUCAAUAUUUAAAAAUCAAUCGAUGUAGUGCAAAUAUUAAUAGCUAAUGAAGAAAUGUCAUAAAAUUAAUGCAGAAAAAGGAUUUGACAAAAUUCAACACUCAUUUAUGUAAAAAUGCUCUGAAAAAUAGGAAUUAAAGGACACCUACAAGAAACUUUCAGCUAACAUAAUUCUUAAUGCUGAAUGAUUGAAUGUUUUCUUCCUGAGCUUGAGAAUAAGGUGAGGGUAUCAUCCCUAAUGACGCUUAUUCAACAUAGUGCUCAAAGUUCUAUGAAGUGCAAUUAGGCAAUAAAGGGAAAUAAAAGACAGGUAAAAGAAGAAAUUAAAUUUUAUUUGAAAAAGCUGAUUGUCUACCUAGAAAAUCUCAAGGAAAACACUAUUAAUAUACAGAACAACCUGAAUGAAUCUUUGGAGAAUUACGCUGCAUCAGAAAAAGCCAAUCACAAAAGAUUACAUACUAUGUAAUUCCAUUUGUAUAACAUUUUGAACUGACAAAAGUAUAGAAAUGAACAGAUUAGUGGUUGUUAGGGGUGAGGGGUUAUGGGUCAGAGAUAGGAGUUGGGGAUAUAAAAAGGCAACCUGAGGGAUCCUUAUGGUGAUUGAAACAUUCUGUAUGUUGGUUCUAUCAAUGUCAAUACUCUGGUUGGACUAUGGUUCCACAGUUUUGCAAGAUGUUAUUGAGGAAAACGGCAUAAAUGGUGCCCAGGAUCUCUCUAUUGUUUCUUACUGAUUAUGUAUCUGCAAUGAUUGCAAAAUAAAAAGGUUUAAUUUUUAAAAAGGAUUAAACAUUACAUAGCAUACACUUGAGUAAAAGACAAAAUCUGGCUAAGGAUUAUUUUUGUCCUAAGUAAUAUGUGGAUUUUGUACAACAUAAAUCACAAUCCCCUAAAAUCUAUAUUGUAAAUUGAUAAAAUGUAAAACCUGUGUAUUACAGAAUAAAAGAUGAACAAAAAUUACAAAACACUAAGAAAUACCCUAGUGCCCCAAUGUAUCAGUAGACAAACACAUGGACAGAUAGUUUGCAAAAGGGGAAGUACAUAUGGUGAAUAAACAUUAUGAGAUGUCUAAUAUUGUUAGCUAUCAAUGAAACAUGAAAUAAAAUGAUGACAUUGCAC